rnacentral:rRNA from 1 species
GUAGCGAAAGACGGGUGAGAAUCCCGUCCACCGAUUGACUAAGGUUUCCAGAGGAAGGCUCGUCCGCUCUGGGUUAGUCGGGUCCUAAGCUGAGGCCGACAGGCGUAGGCGAUGGAUAACAGGUUGAUAUUCCUGUACCACCUAAUAUCGUUUUAAUCGAUGGGGGGACGCAGUAGGAUAGGCGAAGCGUGCUGUUGGAGUGCACGUCCAAGCAGUAAGGCUGAGUGUUAGGCAAAUCCGGCACUCGUUAGGCUGAGCUGUGAUGGGGAGAGGAAAUUGUUUCCUCGAGUCGUUGAUUUCACACUGCCGAGAAAAGCCUCUAGAUAGAUAACAGGUGCCCGUACCGCAAACCGACACAGGUAGUCAAGAUGAGAAUUCUAAGGUGAGCGAGCGAACUCUCGUUAAGGAACUCGGCAAAAUGACCCCGUAACUUCGGGAGAAGGGGUGCUCUUUAGGGUUCACGCCCAGAAGAGCCGCAGUGAAUAGGCCCAAGCGACUGUUUAUCAAAAACACAGGUCUCUGCUAAACCGUAAGGUGAUGUAUAGGGGCUGACGCCUGCCCGGUGCUGGAAGGUUAAGAGGAGUGGUUAGCUUCUGCGAAGCCACGAAUCGAAGCCCCAGUAAACGGCGGCCGUAACUAUAACGGUCCUAAGGUAGCGAAAUUCCUUGUCGGGUAAGUUCCGACCCGCACGAAAGGCGUAACGAUUUGGGCACUGUCUCAACGAGAGACUCGGUGAAAUCAUAGUACCUGUGAAGAUGCAGGUUACCCGCGACAGGACGGAAAGACCCCGUGGAGCUUUACUGUAGCCUGAUAUUGAAAUUCGGCACAGCUUGUACAGGAUAGGUAGGAGCCAUUGAAACGUGAGCGCUAGCUUACGUGGAGGCGUUGGUGGGAUACUACCCUAGCUGUGUUGGCUUUCUAACCCGCACCACUUAUCGUGGUGGGAGACAGUGUCAGGCGGGCAGUUUGACUGGGGCGGUCGCCUCCUAAAAGGUAACGGAGGCGCUCAAAGGUUCCCUCAGAAUGGUUGGAAAUCAUUCACAGAGUGUAAAGGCAUAAGGGAGCUUGACUGCGAGACCUACAAGUCGAGCAGGGUCGAAAGACGGACUUAGUGAUCCGGUGGUUCCGCAUGGAAGGGCCAUCGCUCAACGGAUAAAAGCUACCCCGGGGAUAACAGGCUUAUCUCCCCCAAGAGUUCACAUCGACGGGGAGGUUUGGCACCUCGAUGUCGGCUCAUCGCAUCCUGGGGCUGUAGUCGGUCCCAAGGGUUGGGCUGUUCGCCCAUUAAAGCGGUACGCGAGCUGGGUUCAGAACGUCGUGAGACAGUUCGGUCCCUAUCCGUCGUGGGCGUAGGAAAUUUGAGAGGAGCUGUCCUUAGUACGAGAGGACCGGGAUGGACAUACCUCUGGUGUACCAGUUGUCGUGCCAACGGCAUAGCUGGGUAGCUAUGUAUGGACGGGAUAAGUGCUGAAAGCAUCUAAGCAUGAAGCCCCCCUCAAGAUGAGAUUUCCCAACUUCGGUUAUAAGAUCCCUCGAAGAUGACGAGGUUAAUAGGUUCGAGGUGGAAGCGUGGCGACACGUGGAGCUGACGAAUACUAAUCGAUCGAAGACUUAAUCAAU